CUCUCCAGCCCAUGAGGUAGGGCUGGUGUCUUUGCAGGUGGCAGGGCGGGAGGGGCCCCUUUCUGCUUCUGUGCUCUUUGAGUAUCGAGCCCGCCGAUUCCUGUCUCUGCCUAGUACUCAACUUGACUGGCUGUCACUGGACGACAACCAGUUCCGGAUGUCCAUACUAGAGCGACUGGAGCAGAUGGAGAAGCGGAUGGCAGAGAUCGCAGCAGCUGGGCAGGUGCCUUGCCAGGGUCCUGACGCUCCUGCAGUUCAGGUACUUCUGUGAGGAGGGAGGUGGUCUACGGUGGGGAGCAGGGGGAGGACACAGCUAAAGAAAACAUCUAGUGCCCAUGACUCUCCUCCCUCUCCUGUCCCCAGCCUCCUCAGCCUGUCUUCCCUCUCCCUGACGUCACCCUGUUCCCAUCCCCACCUUGUGGCGAGAGUGGCUAUUCUGGGCACCCUCUUGGCAUGACGGGCUUCAGACUAUUUCUGGUCUGAAGAAGGGUGGAGGUGAAGGAGAGGGCGGGGGAGGGGUCAGGAGCACUGGGGCUCAGAUCUCUGUGGGUCCCAAGUUUCUGAAAGAAGAGGGCUAAGGCUCAGAGAAGGCUCUG
rnacentral:sRNA from 1 species